rnacentral:rRNA from 1 species
GAUGAACGCUGGCGGCGUGCCUAAUACAUGCAAGUCGAGCGAACAGACGAGGAGCUUGCUCCUCUGACGUUAGCGGCGGACGGGUGAGUAACACGUGGAUAACCUACCUAUAAGACUGGGAUAACUUCGGGAAACCGGAGCUAAUACCGGAUAAUAUAUUGAACCGCAUGGUUCAAUAGUGAAAGACGGUUUUGCUGUCACUUAUAGAUGGAUCCGCGCCGCAUUAGCUAGUUGGUAAGGUGACGGCUUACCAAGGCAACGAUGCGUAGCCGACCUGAGAGGGUGAUCGGCCACACUGGAACUGAGACACGGUCCAGACUCCUACGGGAGGCAGCAGUAGGGAAUCUUCCGCAAUGGGCGAAAGCCUGACGGAGCAACGCCGCGUGAGUGAUGAAGGUCUUCGGAUCGUAAAACUCUGUUAUUAGGGAAGAACAAAUGUGUAAGUAACUACGCACGUCUUGACGGUACCUAAUCAGAAAGCCACGGCUAACUACGUG